rnacentral:rRNA from 1 species
ACUCCUACGGGAGGCAGCAGUGGGGAAUAUUGCACAAUGGGGAAACCCUGAUGCAGCCAUGCCGCGUGUGUGAAGAAGGCCUUCGGUUGUAAAGCACUUCAGUAGGGAGGAAGGUAGUGUAGUUAACACCUGCAUUAUUUGACGUUACCUACAGAAGAAGCACCGGCUAACUCCGUGCCAGCAGCCGCGGUAAUACGGAGGGGUGCGAGCGUUAAUCGGAAUUACUGGGCGUAAAGCGCAUGCAGGCGGCCUGUUAAGUCAGAUGUGAAAGCCCGGGGGCUUAACCUCGGAAUUGCAUUUGAAACUGGCAGGCUAGAGUCUUGUAGAGGGGGUAGAAUUUCAGGUGUAGCGGUGAAAUGCGUAGAGAUCUGAAGGAAUACCAGUGGCGAAGGCGGCCCCUGGACAAAGACUGACGCUCAGAUGCGAAAGCGUGGGGAGCAAACAGGAUUAGAUACCCUGGUAGGAUAGCG